CCGCCUCUUUGCUUGUGCAGCUGCUGCUGGGUGAGCGCGUGUCAAUGGGAUCCGGCUCCGUGCGCGGUAACCGCGUGGUGCGGCUGCCGGCCCGCAGACCCGGACAUUAGAGAGGAGUCCCAAGAAAUGGCGUUUGUGAGCAGACCAGCCGGAACGGAAGUGGCCCACGUGGCAUUGAGUAAUAUUCAGGGAAAUGAAAAACCAAGCAAUAGAUGACAUUGGAAAGAAGAAAUGUGAAUCUAAGAAUUACCAUCAAAAAAGCUGAACCAUGAAAUAAGUGCUUAAACAUGGAGGAACAUUCAAGGAUAUGUGCAGAGGCAUGCCAGCACCCUGUACAUGUCAUUGGAAUAGUUGUGGAUCGUGAUCAUGAAGGGGAGGAAGCCACAAGUUUAAAUUUUUGUGAAGUAGAAUGCAACUAAUUUUUAAACUUCUCAUGCGAGAAUAACUUGCUUGAGGGGGAAUGAGGGAAAUGUAUAUUUGAUUUGUAAAAUUAUCUUGUAGAAACAGGGGUAAUGCAAGAUUUGAGAUUUUGUAAAUGUUCUCAAUUCACCUGUUCAAACUGAUUAUGAUAUCUCUGGAGCAGUUAGGACUUGAAUCCAGACCUUCUGGUGCCAAAGCAGGGACACUACUGUGGCACCAGUCCCUUGAGACUUUGUAUUCAUGAACACUACUGUGAUUUAUUUGCCAUUGUGUUUGUAGUUAGCUUCAUAUAAUGUUUUAGGUAUUGCAAUUAGUUACUGAUAAUAUGCCCCAAUAAAUAUAUAAUAGUGCCAAAGUUGUUUUUUUCCUAAAGCUUACUUGCUACCCAGUGUUGAUUUACCAAUCCAGUUACAACUGAUUGUAUAAUUGCUAUGUUCUGGAUCUUGCAAUUGAUUUUAAGAUUUAAUGUAAUAAAUGUUUACACCCUG